rnacentral:snoRNA from 1 species
AUUCGGGUUGAUAACUAGGCGGCGAUCUCGAUCAUUAAAACCACUCUACGACGUCCGCCCUUUAAAUACCCGAUAGAUAAAAAUUUUGGCGUUGAUCUUACAAGUUUCCUGUCUAUUAUAUUUUACUGUGGUUGGUAACAUUUAAUUCAUCGCCACAUUG